ensembl:snoRNA
CCUCCUUUUCUUGGCAGGGACCGGACUUGUGGACCCGCUCCCCGUAAAGUACGGAGGAAGAGGGAAAGCACUCUGGCACCCUCGGCGUCAUGUCUCUGGUGCCGGUGGCUUCCCACUCGCUGGUUCUAUCUUCAAGCGCCGAGACACCU